AUUGAACGCUGGCGGCAGGCCUAACACAUGCAAGUCGAGCGGUAGAGAGGUGCUUGCACCUCUUGAGAGCGGCGGACGGGUGAGUAAUGCCUAGGAAUCUGCCUGGUAGUGGGGGAUAACGCUCGGAAACGGACGCUAAUACCGCAUAAGUCCUACGGGAGAAAGCAGGGGACCUUCGGGCCUUGCGCUAUCAGACGAGCCCAGGUCGGAUUAGCUAGUUGGUGAGGUAAUGGCUCACCAAGGCGACGAUCCGUAACUGGUCUGAGAGGAUGAUCAGUCACACUGGAGCUGAGACACGGUCCAGACUCCUACGGGAGGCAGCAGUGGGGAAUAUUGGACAAUGGGCGAAAGCCUGAUCCAGCCAUGCCGCGUGUGUGAAGAAGGUCUUCGGAUUGUAAAGCACUUUAAGUUGGGAGGAAGGGUCGUUACCUAAUACGUGACGAUUUUGACGUUACCGACAGAAUAAGCACCGGCUAACUCUGUGCCAGCCGCCGCAGUAA
rnacentral:rRNA from 1 species